GACAAUGUAGCGGGGCUCAAGCACACCACCGAAGACGCGGCAGUAUUUUGUACUGGGUAGGAGAGCGUCCCAUGAGGGGCGAAGCGGCCGUGUGAACGCGCCGUGGACUUCAUGGGAGUGAGAAUGCAGACAUGAGUAGCGAGAGACGGGUGAAGAUCCCGUCCGCUGGAUGACCAAGGGUUCCAGGGCCACGUUCAUCGUCCCUGGGUGAGUCGGGUCCUAAGGCGAGGCCGACAGGCGUAGUCGAAUGGAUGAACGGGUCGAUAUUCCCGUACCGGCUUUCAGCCGCCAAAACCGAGGCUUGGAGUACUAACCUCCGGGUCCGGGCUUACUGCUCCUUCGGGGGCGGGAUGCCCUGGCCUGUUGGGACCGAUCCUUGUAGUAGGUCAGCGCAGGAGUGACGCAGAAGGGUAGCCGGCCGCGGAGGUGGUCUUCCGUGGUCAAGCACGCAGGGCGUGGGACAGGCAAAUCCGUCCCGCAUGGGUCCGAGGUGCGAUGAUGGGGGCCUUAUGGCCCGAUAUCCGGUGAUCCCGGCUGCCGAGAAAAGCUUCGGCGUCAGGCUCAAAGCCGCCCGUACCCCAAACCGACACUGGUGGUCAGGUAGAGAAUACCAAAGCGAUCGAGCGAAUCCUGGUCAAGGAACUCGGCAAAUCACUCCCGUUCCUUCGGUUUAAGGGAGACCCCCGAUGGUGAACACACUUGCUGUGGGAGCUUUUGGGGGUGGCACAGACCAGGGGGUAGCGACUGUUUACCAAAAACACAGGUGCAUGCGAAGGCGCAAGCCGCUGUAUAUGCACUGACGCCUGCCCGGUGCCGGAAGGUUAAGAGGAGAGCUUAGCGCAAGCGAAGGUUUGAAUUUAAGCCCCAGUAAACGGCGGCCGUAACUAUAACGGUCCUAAGGUAGCGAAAUUCCUUGUCGGGUAAGUUCCGACCCGCACGAAAGGCGUAAUGAUUUGAGCGCUGUCUCGACAAUGCAUCCGGUGAAAUUGAAGUACCAGUGAAGAUGCUGGUUACCCGCGCCAGGACGGAAAGACCCCAUGGAGCUUUACUCCAGCUUGAUACUGGGAUUCGGUAUUGCAUGUACAGGAUAGGUGGGAGGCUAGGAAGUGAUAACGCCAGUUGUCACGGAGCCGCUGUUGGGAUACCACCCUUGCAGUACUGGGCUUCUAACCAGCCGCCGUGAACCGGCGGUGGGACAAUGCCAGACGGGGAGUUUGACUGGGGCGGUCGCCUCCGAAAGGGUCACGCUUUCCACCUGCGGAUGAUUCACCCCGUGCCGGCUGUACCCGAUGCAGCGCAUUCCGAGCGCCGUCGCGAUUUCCGCCGUCCGCUUGCCGAUGCGCCCACAGCCGAGCAGACCCAGCGUCUGUCCGCGCAGACUGCGCCCCAUGUUUCUGCCCAUGCCGAACAGGUUUUCCGGCGCUUCCGCCCGCACGCGGAGGCUGUUUUCCCCAAUUCUGCGCGAAACUGCAAGCAUCAGCCCGAUGGCGAGCUCCGCCGUGCUGUCCGUCACGGUGUCGGGCAGGUUCGUGACCGGUAUGCCGCAUUCCGCCGCUGCGCGCACGUCCACGCCGUCAUAGCCCGCGCCAUAGCCCGCGAUAAUGCGCAGCUUCGUCCCCCUGCGGAUGAUUUCGCCCGGCAGCGCGCCGCACGCAACGACCGCAUCCGCCGCCGGAAUCAGCGCCGCGAGUUCGUCCUGUGAAAACUGCAUGAGCGGCUUCGGAAUCAC
rnacentral:rRNA from 1 species